AGCGAACCAGUACCGUGAGGGAAAGGUGAAAAGCACCCCGAGAGGGGAGUGAAACAGUACCUGAAACCGUGUGCCUACAAGCAGUCGGAGCAGCCAUGCGCUGUGACGGCGUGCCUUUUGUAGAAUGAGCCAGCGAGUCGCUGGCGCGGGGCGAGGUUAACCGAAAGGGAGCCGGAGCGAAAGCGAGCCUUAACAGGGCGACUUGAGUCCCGCGCCGCGGACGCGAAGCCGGGUGAGCUAUCCGUGGGCAGGCUGAAGCGGGGGUAAGACCCCGUGGAGGGCCGAACGCACGUCGGUUGAAAACGGCGGCGAUGACCUGCGGAUAGGGGUGAAAGGCCAAUCAAACCCGGAGAUAUCUCGUUCUCCCCGAAAUAGCUUUAGGGCUAGCGUCGCGCGUUCACCGCCGGAGGUAGAGCACCGGAUGGACGAGGGGGCUUCGCCGCCUACCGAAUCCAACCGAACUCCGAAUGCCGGCGGCCCAGAGCGCGGCAGUCAGAGCAUGUGGGCUAAGCUGUGUGCUCGAGAGGGAAACAGCCCGGACCGCCCGCUAAGGUCCCCAAGUUCCAGCCGAGUGGCAAAGGAUGUGCGUCCGCCCAGACAACCAGGAUGUUGGCUUAGAAGCAGCCAUCCAUUCAAAGAGUGCGUAACAGCUCACUGGUCGAGUGGACAUGCGCCGACAAUACACGGGGCUAAGCUGGACACCGAAGCGGCGGGAUUUUAAUUCAUUAGAAUCGGUAGGGGAGCUUCCCAUGGGCGGAGAAGCCGGAGGGCGACCGACGGUGGAGCGCAUGGGAGUGAGAAUGCUGGCAUGAGUAGCGAGAGACGAGAGAGUAACUCGUCCGCCGUGAACCCGAGGUUUCCUGGGCAAGGCUAAUCCUCCCAGGGUCAGUCGGGGGCUAAGGCGAGGCCGGUAGGCGUAGCCGACGCGCAGCAGGCAGACAUUCCUGCACCGCGCACGCGGCGCUACGACCGACGGGGCGACGGAUGGGGGUGGCUCGGCGGGGUUCUGGACGUCCCCGUGAUGGAGCGCGGCCCGCGGACCAGGGAAAUCCGGUCCGCAGGAGGGCGAGGCUCCGGACGAAGCACUUAAGCGAAGCGAGUGAGCCCGAGGUCCCUAGAAAAACCCCUAGGCAGGCGCGUGCGCGCCCGUACCGCAAACCGACACAGGUGGGUGGGUAGAACAUACCGAGGCGAUCGGGUCAACCAUGGUCAAGGAACUCGGCACAAUGGCCCCGUAACUUCGGGAGAAGGGGUGCCCGCGCGUACGUGAACCGGCUCGCCCGGGGAGCGGAGGCGGGCCGCAGUGGAGAGGCCCAAGCGACUGUUUACCAAAAACACAGGACUCUGCAGAAGCCGCAAGGCGACGUAUAGGGUCUGACGCCUGCCCGGUGCCGGAAGGUCACGCGGAGGAGUUAGCCGAUUCGGCGAAGCCCCGAAGCCAAGCCCCGGUAAACGGCGGCCGUAACUAUAACGGUCCUAAGGUAGCGAAAUUCCUUGUCGGGU
rnacentral:rRNA from 1 species